GCUUGUCUUUGUGCAAAAACUAUCUGCAAUUUUCUGAUCUCAUCAGGUGACCUCAACGUCAGACCAAGGACACAUAAUGUCAUUUCUGCCUCUACCACAUGGGCCGCUGACCUCCCGCAUCCACCAGCCUUCUUAGGGCUUCCCCACCUUCAGGGCCCUGUAGCAGGAGGAGCUAUCUGAGAUGGAAGAUACGGAGAUGAGCUUCUCAGGCUGCCCAGACCAAGAAAUCUUGCAGGAGUGCCACAGCAAGCUGGACUCAAGCUGCUGCAGGGCUUAUUCCGGCUUGGCCUAUGCUCCCCCUGCCUGCAGGCCCAGGGCCUACUAUGAAGCUUAGGCCGCUCGUGGCAGGCCCGGGCUUCACAAUUCUUAGUUCAGGGCUUGAGAUGGCCAUCAGGGAACAGCAGGGACAGGCAUGAGGCAGGAACUGAGAGUGCCUGUGCUGACCUGUUGCACGUGAGUGAGGUGAUAGGGCUGAGUGGCCACAGCAGCAGGUUCUAACAGCCCUGUGGUCAUUCAGAGUGGCAGGUCAUGGCCGAGAUCAAUGCAGGAAGGACAGACAGCAUGUCAGGAGCAGCAGGGACUGAGCACAAGCCAUGGCAUAGCAAUCAGCUGUGGCUUGGGGACUCAGGCCUGAGUCAAAGCAGGGCUAUUGGCAGAUAGAACGCAGCCCAGGUGAGACUUGCUAGGGCAAGCAAGCUCCAUUAAUGCUGCCAGGGCCCUGCUAAUUGCUUGAUCCCACCUGCGGAGAAGUGGAGGUGUAACUCCCAAGUAUAACUAGACUUCCAAUCAAUAUGUAUUCUCCCAGAAAAUUGUCAGGAGGAAUGAAGGAUGGAGUCCCAUGAGUAAGAAGUAGGGUGUCUUCGUGCCUCGGAGCUGCCUUGCUGCUUCAAAGACUGCAUACCGUCUGCUGCCCUGAAGGUGACUGCAUGCAGCUUGGUCGGGCUGGCGUCUCAUUAUCCCUCUGCUGCAGGCUUCCAGCAGCUCCCCAAGCAGGGAGUUUUGAAGUUGUACUCUCCUGGUAAAGAGGAUACCCAGCAGUCUUUACUCAGGUUUGCUCUCAAGACAGAGGCCUCACAUCUCGGUCCACCAGCCAGGAAGAUGUUGGCCUUCAGCUUUUUGGGCAACUUUUGACCCUACCUCUGCACUCUGGAUGGGUUUUGGAUGUCCCUUUGAAUGCACUGCCUUUCAGCACAGAGCCACCAGAAGCUAAGCAGGCCAGGAAGAGGCCCACGUAAAGCACUGCUCACUGGGACGCAUGGAGAAAUCAAGGCCUCCGGACACUGUGCCUCCACCUCGGCUCCUGAAGGCAGGGCAGCACCAAAACGAGAGCUUGUAUUCAUGCAGACCACAGCCAGCACAUCUGCAGAUGAGUGGGACAGUAUCUUUGAAAAGAAUAAGCUUUGGAAUUCAGGAAGUCUGUAUGAGAGGCCUGCGUUUCCGCUCCUCCCUGAAGGCAUCGUGGUUAGCAUCACAGCCUGCACGCUCACCAGGUUUCUUUGCAGCAUCAGACAUUCACAAGGAAGAACAUCUAGGUUUGCCCCAUUUCACUGUACUUGCUACCUGCCACAAAUAGAAAGAUGAAACGCUGCAGGAAAUAUCUAUAUUUUUAAAUCCUUUUGAUGUGC